rnacentral:lncRNA from 1 species
AACUCUAUGGAUUAGUUGAGGAACUUACAAAUAAGGUUCAUAUCAGAGAAGAACUCCGAUGUUCUAGAUAUUUCUGACCUUGAAAUGAUCAGUAAUAAUGAGAAGACAAUGAUGUCCAUAUGGAUAUUAUUUAUGGCAAAUUUGGACAUUGGGAGUAUAAUUGCAAGAAUUAUCUUACAAGAUUGAAGCAGAGUGCAAGUGUAGCACCAAAAGGUAUGCAUAUGAUACAGACUUAUUUUUCAUUGAGUGGUUCAGACUCUGAUAUUUGGGUAUUAGAUACCGCCAG